GACGAACGCUGGCGGCGUGCUUAACACAUGCAAGUCGAACGAAGUGGCGAACGGGUGAGUAACGCGUAAUCAACCUGCCCGUCAGAGGGGGAUAACAGUUGGAAACGACUGCUAAUACCGCAUACUGAAGGAGGGGAGUGCGGCUGCUUAGCUAGUUGGAGGGGUAACGGCCCACCAGGGCGAUGAUGAGUAGCCGGUCUUGGAAGAUGAACGGGCACAUUGGGACUGAGACAAGGCCCAGACUCCUUCGGGAGGCAGCCGGGGGUAAUCUUCGGAAAUGGGCGAAAGUCUGACUGAGCAACGCCGCGUGAGUUAUGACGGCCUUCGGGUUUUAAAGCUCUGUUAAUCGGGGCGCGGUACCGGAAUAGGAAGCAACGGCUAACUACGUGCCAGCAGCCGCGGUAAUAC
rnacentral:rRNA from 1 species